UUUUGCGCAAUGGGCGAAAGCCUGACGCAGCAACGCCGCGUGAGUGAUGAAGGCUUUCGGGUCGUAAAGCUCUGUCAAGUGGGAAGAACCUGCAGUAUGCUAAUAUCAUAUUGCACUGACGGUACCACUGAAGGAAGCACCGGCUAACUCCGUGCCAGCAGCCGCGGUAAUACGGGGGGUGCAAGCGUUAUUCGGAAUCAUUGGGCGUAAAGAGCACGUAGGCGGCCUGGUAAGUCAGAUGUGAAAGCCCGGGGCUUAACCCCGGAAGUGCAUUUGAUACUGCUAGGCUUGAGUAUGGGAGAGGGAAGUGGAAUUCCUGGUGUAGAGGUGAAAUUCGUAGAUAUCAGGAGGAACACCGGUGGCGAAGGCGACUUCCUGGACCAAUACUGACGCUGAGGUGCGAAGGCGUGGGUAGCAAACAGGAUUAGAUACCCUGGUAGUCCACGCAGUAAACGUUGUUCACUAGGUGUAGCGGGUAUUGACCCCUGCUGUGCCGCAGUUAACGCAUUAAGUGAACCGCCUGGGGAGUACGGCCGC
rnacentral:rRNA from 1 species